rnacentral:tRNA from 1 species
GCGCCGGUGGUGCAAGGCGAACAUCGCGGCCCGGAAAGCGGAAUAUGCGGGUUCGAGUCCCGCCUGGCGCA